rnacentral:rRNA from 1 species
AACGAGACCUUAACCUGCUAAAUAGCCCGGCUAGCUUUGGCUGGUCGCUGGCUUCUUAGAGGGACUAUCGGCUCAAGCCGAUGGAAGUUUGAGGCAAUAACAGGUCUGUGAUGCCCUUAGAUGUUCUGGGCCGCACGCGCGCUACACUGACAGAGCCAACGAGUUUUUCUCCUUGACCGAAAGGUCUGGGUAAUCUUGUGAAACUCUACCGUGU